GUGACUUCAAAGUGCAUCCUUCUUGUUUUUAGCCCUUGGAGCUCAGAAAAUCUAGAAGCUAGGUAUGACGAAAAUGGGAAGAGAAUGGGCAAUUAUUAAAUGACACCUAAAACAUUAUAGUACUGCAACCAAAGAUUCUUUUCCAGUUGCAAUAUUGCACACGUUGACAUUGUCAAUUGUGAUUCGACGUAUUGUGCAACUCUAAGCUAGACUUUAUCACAGAGCAAGAUGAAGAGUUACAUGUUUGUAUGUGUGUGUACAGAUGCAAACACUAGGUUUUCUUUCUUUAUUGAUUGGCCCUUUAACAACCUUAACCAAACCACAGACUGGGAUGAGACCUUAUGUCACAAAGAAAUACAAGACACAAUUUAACUAUAAUGUAAAGUUAUAUAGUUAGUUAUGAACCUAAUUAGUGUGAACCUUAUUGUAAGGAAUUGGGAUAAAAUUCAGGUACAGUGCAAAGUUAAAAUGUUUUAAUUAUAAAAUAAAAGUAUAGCAAACGUUGCCUCAAAAUGAUUAUCACGAUACUGUAUUAUAGCCACCUAAUAAACCCCACUUUAGUUCCUUUUUAAAAGAAGAUAAACUAAGGGGUUCCUCUACAGAAAAAAAAAACUUAUAUUCAAUAGUAGAGGAUUAAAGAGAAUCCAAGCCUGUGUGGACAUGGGAUUGCCUUCUCAAAAGCUGUCCAAGUUCUGUCAGAUUCAGCACCCCUACACAUAGAGCUCGUGAACCUAAUUUCACCUAAUCAGCUUAGUCAAUAGCAACCGUUUGCUGUGAUUCUAGUAGACAUGCAAAUGGGGCUUAACAAUGUCUAUCCUUAAUUCCUAAAUGUUCAAGUCAAGCGGAAGUCUCCCUUUAUCUCCUCAAAAACAACAGUUCCAAUUUUAUAGAGGGAACAAGAAGAAAAGCGAAAAUAAAACUCCAGCAGAGUUGACUGUUUUUUCUUGGCCUGGUGAGGAAGGAUCUCUCUCUGAUUUGAGUGUGCUUGAGGUAGCACAGUGUGCUUUCAUUUCAAACCAACAUCGCAAACAAACCCUGACAGAUUUGUUCCCCUUUUUCACUUUUGCUCUUGUUCAAUCUCUCUUAAUUAUGAGAAAAGACACUGCGCAAAUAUAUUAGCACUUCUUGCAGGUCUGUGUGCUCAGCUGCAGCCCUUGCGCGCACGUACAAGUGUAUGUCAAAACACGCAAACAUUCAAACAGAUCCCCCCCAAAAUAAAACUGCUAAAAGAGAUAGUUGCGCGAGAGAUAGGAAAGUUGAAGACACCGUUCCGUUUCAAUUCACAGAUACCACUAAUGGCUUCUUAGCAGCUCUAUGAAAUCAAGCAGCUGUCAUGUCGAUGCAUCAGCAGCGGAGAGAGGAGCGAGAGCCAUUCCCCAUAAGGACAGAGGCACCGCGCCUUCAUGUUUGGCUAAACAUCUGCUCCUCUGCACUCAGGCUUCGCAGCAAUAAACGGGCAAACAAAAGAGGACACAGAGAAGAUGGUGAGAUCAGGCUCUACCUUAGGGGAGGGCUUAAGCUCAUGCGUGAGGCAAAAUGACGGAAAAUAAAUAGGACAAGUGUCCUGUCUGGAAAACGUGUAAACAAGUACCAAGGCAUCUAAAGAGGCUGUUACAAUGAGCAGACAUGUACAAAGAUCUGAGUUAGAAGUGGUCGAUUUUUAAUUAAAAUAUUAAACUAUUUUGUAAUUGGUCAUUUGUUUAAAAAAAAAAAAAGGUGUUAAAUGUAUUUUUAUUUCAAAGGAAAUGUGAUCAAAGUGAUAUUUAUUCAGGAUCUAACAUCAAGUGUUUUAUUUUAACUCUUAAUUGCAUUCUUGGUAAUUAAGGCUAACAGCAGUCCUUCCUUUCCUCCUUCCUUCCUUCCUUACUCCAUUCAUUCAUGUUUAGCUGCAAACACAAGCCACGGCUAAUGUAACUGAAAAACAGUUUUGAGUUUAAAACAUAAGGAAUUAAUUUAUGUGACAUAACCGUGUCUCACUAUGACAUUAUUCGGCUUCCCUAGCCAUAUAUUCCAAUCUUGACAGAAAACACAUAACUUCAUAUUUUGUUUAUAAAUAAACAUUUCCCCCCUUAAUCUCAAACGAGCUUCUAAAUUGUGUCUCUGGAGCAUUUAACGUUGCAAAUGUCUUUCAAAAGCGUCUUCAUAAAACCCUUCACUCUGUCUCUUUCUCUCCCUCGCUUCUCCACAGCGCGUCAAAAACUUUGGUAAAACUUAAGAAAGGAAAAAAAACCGUGGAUCCAUUUCCUACUAAAGUAGUCAAAAGUGUUUGUAUGUGUAGAGAGAGAGAGGGGAGGAAAGGCAGGGGUGCUUGAGGGACGAAUUUAAAACAACCAAGAUGGCGAGAGGCUUGUUGUUUUGGAAGGGGCAGAAAAAAUGGAGGAUAUUGUAAUAUACACAAAGGGAUAAAUUUCAACAACUCAGCCAAGCGGCUGCUAGCUCGCCUGCACGCCUGGGUUUGAGGAAGCGACCGCGAUUAGCAAGCACCCCGGCGAAGCCUGGCCAACAACACGGAAAAACAGCUCAAACUCCGACCCGCUCCGGAUAGAGAAAUGAAUAAUACACGUCUAAACUUAACCCAAACUGAUGUGGAUGUUUAUAAAUUUGUCGCAAAUUGUUUUAUUUUCGAGUCGAGGGACUGUUGAAGUGGAUGGAUUUUUUUUUUAAAGGACGGACAGCGAGGACCAACGGCAGUCCAGUCAGUUACCCCCCAUCCGUCUCUCUCUCUCGCUCGCUCUACGUUUGGACGGUUACAGCUCGAAAUACGCACUAAAAAACACCCCGAACGGCUCGUUUAAACGGCCGACAAAAACCAAAGACACCACAAAAGGCUCGAAAAGUUUAAAAUCACAACGAUAAAACUAGUUAUCGCGCAGGAGUGAACGGUGCGAGAGAGAGAGAGGAAGAAAGGAAAGAAGGACACAAAGACGAUUCCCACUAUCAGGUCACCACCGCUCGGGGAGAAAAACCCCACUUCGUUUUCAGAUUAAAGAGGAAAAAAAAAAAAAACUUCAACCAAAUGUACCGCUAACGACUACCGGACACACCGACCGAAUGAAUUACAUUCGCAACAAGAAAACAAAGUAUCCACAAAAGCUGGAAAAAAAGCGAAGAAAUUAGAAACCGAAGCCAGCUCUCAAAGCGGAGCUCACAGCUUGUUUCAGUGAUGGUCUUGAAAACAGCGUCAGGGAAAUAAAAAAAAA